ACUGGGUGUUAAUCUUUUUUGCUUCGUUUCUAUAUAUAUUUAUGAUGUUCUCCUUAAUGUAUUCUCAGUUCUAGCUUAGGUGAGAGGACGUGACUGGUCACAAAAGGAAAGUGACCAUGGGGGAAUUUUAUGCUAAGAUAUUUCUCUCCCUCGUGAUACUGCACGGACAGAUCAGCGAUAUGAAUGUUCGGAGGCAGAAGGUUGUUUGUAUGGAGAGAUGUAGGAAGGGAGAUGAGGAUGUGAGCAGCAUGAAGACAUAUUUCAUUGAUGCUUGGAAUCUGCGUCGAUGUUGAGGUGCCAUGACGACAAGGGUGAUAAGACCCAUAGUAGCAAGGAUGUUGGGUGGGUCCAAGGGCUCGGAAGAGGAAGAGGAAGACAUACGAGAGGCGGAAGAAACCAUCGAAUGGGUCAGAGGUAGUAGCCAAAGGAGGGCAAAGGGGCUGUCGAGGACAUUUUCUCCAGUGCAUGCCAUCGGAUUCUAAUGGAGCUCAGCCAACCCAGCGGCCCUUCUUUUACCAUAGCGGUGGCAGCGGCGGCGGGAGGGGCAGAGCUCUGCUCUGAUCCUAUAAUAAGCUGAUCCUAUGGUUUAAAUUCUUACUUGAUAAUGCCAUUUGCGCGAUAGCGCAACAGGUCAUCUAGUGCUCAUAAUACCUCCUUGCAACAAAUGCUG